rnacentral:tRNA from 2 species
GCCAGCGUAGCUCAGCAGGCAGAGCGGCGCACUCGUAAUGCGCAGGUCGGGGGUUCGAAUCCCUUCGCUGGCUCCA